AAUUUGCCGGAACCGGGCAAAGCGUGAGGGAGCAACGUCGCAGGAUAAAGCAAAUUAAGAGUAGUGUACUAAUUAUCCUGGGUAAGAAGCAAUGAUGGUAUUUGGGGAAUAAGCAUAGUCUGUCUCUGUGGCAGCAGCAGUGAUAAUACUGCGGAUGCAAGUGUUAUUCGUAAGGAUUGGGGGUAAAGCGUCUGUAGGUGGCUUUUUAAUUAGGCAAUCAAAUGCUAGGACUCAACAACGGACAGACACGGAAAAUACUAAGGUCAGUACGGUAGGAGCAAAGGGAAUUUCUGGUGGAGUGAUGAAAUGAUUAGAGAUCGGAAAGCACACCCCGGGGAAAGCCCCGCGCUGGUCCGACAUUGACACUGAGAGACUAAAGGUAGGGGAGCGCUUAAAAUUUGAUAUCCCAGGAGU
rnacentral:rRNA from 1 species